rnacentral:rRNA from 1 species
AUUGAACGCUGGCGGCAUGCCUUACACAUGCAAGUCGAACGGCAGCACGGGAGCAAUCCUGGUGGCGAGUGGCGAACGGGUGAGUAAAGUAUCGGAACGUGCCCAGUCGUGGGGGAUAACGUAGCGAAAGUUACGCUAAUACCGCAUACGAUCUAUGGAUGAAAGCGGGGGAUCGCAAGACCUCGCGCGAUUGGAGCGGCCGAUGUCAGAUUAGGUAGUUGGUGGGGUAAAGGCUCACCAAGCCAACGAUCUGUAGCUGGUCUGAGAGGACGACCAGCCACACUGGGACUGAGACACGGCCCAGACUCCUACGGGAGGCAGCAGUGGGGAAUUUUGGACAAUGGGCGAAAGCCUGAUCCAGCAAUGCCGCGUGCAGGAAGAAGGCCUUCGGGUUGUAAACUGCUUUUGUACGGAGCGAAAAGGCUCUCUCUAAUACAGGGGGUUCAUGACGGUACCGUAAGAAUAAGCACCGGCUAACUACGUGCCAGCCGCCGCUGUAA